UCCGUAGGUGAACCUGCGGAAGGAUCAUUACCGAGUUGAUUCGGGCUCCGGCCCGAUCCUCCCACCCUUUGUGUACCUACCUCUGUUGCUUUGGCGGGCCGCGGUCCUCCGCGGCCGCCCCCCUCCCCGGGGGGGUGGCCAGCGCCCGCCAGAGGACCAUCAAACUCCAGUCAGUAAACGAUGCAGUCUGAAAAACACUUAAUAAACUAAAACUUUCAACAACGGAUCUCUUGGUUCUGGCAUCGAUGAAGAACGCAGCGAAAUGCGAUAAGUAAUGUGAAUUGCAGAAUUCAGUGAAUCAUCGAAUCUUUGAACGCACAUUGCGCCCUUUGGUAUUCCGAAGGGCAUGCCUGUUCGAGCGUCAUUACAACCCUCAAGCUCUGCUUGGUAUUGGGCACCGUCCUUUGCGGGCGCGCCUCAAAGACCUCGGCGGUGGCGUCUUGCCUCAAGCGUAGUAGAACAUACAUCUCGCUUCGGAGCGCAGGGCGUCGCCCGCCGGACGAACCUUCUGAACUUUUCUCAAGGUUGACCUCGGAUCAGGUAGGGAUACCCGCUGAACUUAAGCAUAUCAAUAAGCGGAGGA
rnacentral:rRNA from 1 species